CCCUUAGAGUUUGAUCCUGGCUCAGGAUGAACGCUGGCGGCGUGCCUAAUACAUGCAAGUCGAACGAAUCUCUUUUAGAGAUGAGUGGCGAACGGGUGAGUAAUACAUAGGUAACCUGCCCCUGUGCGGGGGAUAACAGGAGGAAACUCCUGCUAAUACCGCAUAGCCAUGAGCACCGCAUGGAGCUCAUGCCAAAUAUCCUUUAUGGGAUAGCGCAGGGAUGGACCUAUGGCGCAUUAGCUGGUUGGCGGGGCAACGGCCCACCAAGGCAACGAUGCGUAGCCGGCCUGAGAUGGCGGACGGCCACAUUGGGACUGAGACACGGCCCAGACUCCUACGGGAGGCAGCAGUAGGGAAUUUUCGGCAAUGGGGGAAACCCUGACCGAGCAACGCCGCGUGAGCGAAGAAGGCCUUCGGGUCGUAAAGCUCUGUUGUAAAGGAAGAACGGCGCAUACAGGAAAUGGUAUGCGAGUGACGGUACUUUACCAGAAAGCCACGGCUAACUACGUGCCAGCAGCCGCGGUAAUACGUAGGUGGCGAGCGUUAUCCGGAAUCAUUGGGCGUAAAGAGGGAGCAGGCGGCCGCAAGGGUCUGUGGUGAAAGACCGAAGCUAAACUUCGGUAAGCCAUGGAAACCGGGCGGCUAGAGUGCGGAAGAGGAUCGUGGAAUUCCAUGUGUAGCGGUGAAAUGCGUAGAUAUAUGGAGGAACACCAGUGGCGAAGGCGACGGUCUGGGCCGCAACUGACGCUCAUUCCCGAAAGCGUGGGGAGCAAAUAGGAUUAGAUACCCUAGUAGUCCACGCCGUAAACGAUGGUCACUAAGUGUCGGGGGUCAAACCCCGGUGCUGCAGUCAACGCAAUAAGUGACCCGCCUGAGUAGUACGUUCGCAAGAAUGAAA
rnacentral:rRNA from 1 species